rnacentral:lncRNA from 1 species
GGUGGUGGAUGACUAUCCACGUCCCUCACUUCCCGAUGAUUCAUGCUGGAUGUUUACAGCGAGACUCACAGAGGCACUCGGUGCCUCCCUCCACUGCAGGUCUUGGAAUGAGCAGAGCUGGGAGACUGCCCAAAGCGGGCACCAGGAUCCCCUGGUGUGCCAAGCCUCCCAUGAUGCUCCAGCCCUGAAGGGGUGCAGAGGGAGCUGGGGCCUGCCGGGAUGCCGAACCUGGAUGUCCAUGAGUCCGGCAAUCCUGAUCUGCCUGGAACUUUCACAACGGAGAAGGAAGAGCCAGCAACCUCUUGGGAAAAGCGCAUGGGAAUCCUGGAGAGGAAUCAAAGCAGCGCCCUUGACACCAUCAUCCUCUUGUCAACCUUGGCUCAUCGGCCACACACGCUAGCUGCAGCCUCUGGGGUUGAAAAGGUGCUCGCAUAAGACUGGCCCAGAGGUGAGAACCAUUCCUGGAAACCAACCCUCAUCCAUAACGGAUCCAACUGCAGCACAGGCCCUCUGCACCCUCAGCAGAGAGUCAGAGGACCAGGAGGAUGCUCAGAACUGAGUGCUCUUCCACAAAUCUGCCAGCUCCCCACCAUGACAGGGUGAGGAUGGAGGAGAUGGUCUAAUGAGCGAUUCUUGGCAGGCUUUCAGAUAAGGGCUGGUCAGAAAGACCAAGCCGUGAUUAGAGGUUUGGAAUUUUGAGCUCCACACAACCGUCCUCUGGUAGGGGGAGAUGGGCUGGAGAGUGAGUUAAUUAUUGAUCACACCUAUGUGAUGAAGCCACCAUAAAGAUCCCUGAACUGCGGGUCAUGGGGUGCUCCCAUGUUGUUGAAUAGGAACGCAUACACAUGCUGGGAGGGUGGCAUACCCAAAGGUCAUGGAACCUCUGAGUCUCUUCUGCCACAACUUGCCCUGUGCCCUUCAUCAACGUGGCUCUUCCAGAAUUGCGUCCUUUUAAAUUAAU